rnacentral:lncRNA from 1 species
CGUCUUAAUUCGUAACGCUUGCCGUCUUGAUAUCGAAAUCAUCUGACCUUUCGUUCUCUAUAUUCUAUUCUGAUAUCAAGCUUUUAUAAUUGCAAUGUGUUAUGAUGUAAGGACAAAAAAAAGUUUAGCAAAUAACUUUCGCUAAUUAUUCCUAUAUUUAUUCACUUAUAUGAUGUACAUGCCAUGAAUAAGGGAUAUUAUCUUUUAUAUAUAUAAAUAAAUUUGAUAAAAUAAAAAUAAUGUAUAUUUUCGAAAUCAUUUCAUAUUUUAUGGGAACGCUAAUGAACUCGCUAUUUUACCGAGUAUAAUAUUAACGAUGACAUUUGUAAUUGAAAACAAAUAAAAGAAAACAAUAUGAUGAAGUUAAAAGAAAUGUAAGUUUAUUAAUGUUAUUUCAUUAGUGAUUUAAUAGAAAACAAGAAGGAAUAACGUGUCAUCUUCAAAUGUCAUGUUACAGUGGAUUCACCAUCAGAAGAAAUUCUGGACCGUUCUAAAAGACACUCAAGACCUGCAUAGAUGACGAAUGGAGCUGGUUCUUUAAAUCGGUGAUUUUUAAAUUUUGUUAUACUUUCACCUUCUUUAGGUAAAAUCAUUCUCACUUUAUUAGUAUUUUCACAGUCAGUUAAAUGUUUUUUAUAUGAAUUUUGAAUUUUGAAAUGACAAAGACAACGAUCACAUAACCACUUUUUAUGAUUAUUCUUCGAAAUUUGUGAACUGACAAGUCUUGAUAAAUUUCGUAUACAUGCAAAGUGAAAUAUCGGUUCGUCAAUGGAUAAUCCAUUAUUUAUAAUAAGUUAAUGGAUUGUAGGUUGUGAUGACUUAUGUUUACUUGAAUACACUGGUGCUAUUUCACAUUUUUUAUUAUCAUCAAUACUGUAAACAUUUAUUGACAAAUUAUUCAUAAAUUUAAAUUUUGAAAUGUCACGUAACAUCAUUGGAAAAUUCAUCCCAUUAUAAUUUAACACAUUACGAAAAUUAGGAUACGAUGAGACUCGAUUACCAUUUAAUUUAGUUGGAUACAAAGCUGCUGUGACAGCAUACAAAAAACAGUACUCAUCGUUAUUUUUUAUAUUCACAACUGCUUUUUUUGCUUGAAUAGUUUUAGGUACUUCAAUAUACUUUAAUAUACCACCUCUCAAUGGUUCAUAACGAUUAAUAUUGAUCAUCAAAUUAAUAAUUGCUCUUAAUGUCCAACCAGAAUCCUUUUCUUGAAAAUCUUCAAUUUUUGUAAGAAAUUUAUUUGUUAAAUUAUUAUCGAACCAAUUAUUCAAGUCAGUUGUUGGUAAAGUUAUUUGAUUUUUCGUAUUAAAAUAUUUUGUCUCAUUAGCAGGUUCACUAUUUUUCACAAUUCUAAAUUAACAAGCUAAUACACCAUUCACUUUUAAAUUUUCAUGAUUACGAAGAAUAUUUUUCAAGCGACUUAUUGUCAUUUUUUUCGCAUCCUAUAAAAAUGGAUUUAUAUCAGUAUGUUUGAUAUUAACUAUAGUUCCUGAUCUUAUUCGUCUUAAAAAUGAUGAAUCACCAUCUGACCACUUUACUUUAUCACUACGUUUUUUAUUAUGUCCGGCAUCAUGUUUUCGUUCACUUUUAAAUUUUUUACAUAACGAUCUUAGUUGAGAAAUUGUUGUUUAAAUCCUUAUUUUAUCACCAAUUGUCUGUGCAGAAACUUUUAAUGCUUUAUUUAAAAGUCUAAUGUUCUUAGUCUAAGUUAGCGCAAAUCCUUUUUCCAUAAUCUCAAUCAAUUUUAAACACUUGUUAGGCUCCAUUUUAUUAAUAUAUCACUUCGACGAUCACUAUAUUAAUUCACUGACUGACUGACUAAAAUCUUCCGCAAAUCCGGCUUUAUAUACUAAAAAUAUGACCUUGAUGAACAUUCUAGAAUAUUAUAGAAAUUUCGGAAACAUUUUUUCAACAUUCCAAAACAGUCACGAACAUUCCAGAAAAUUUCGGAAACAUUUUUUCAACAUUCCAAAAUAAUUCAGAACAUUCCAGAGCAUUUUAGAACAUCUUAGAACAUUCCAGAACAUUUCAGAAUAUUCCAGAACAUUUGAGAAUGUUCCAAAACAUUUGAGAAUAUUCUAAAAUAUUUUAGAACAUUUCAAAGUCGUUCAUUUAGUAUAAAAGAGAAAUGAGCUACGUCUGUAGCAUCAGAUACAUUCUAACAGUCACAGACUGUCAAUCGAAAGCAGAAAAAACAAUUAGAAAAAAUGGAUUCAUUGAUGAAAAUAAAUGAAGUUGCCUGCUUCAAUGAACAGUUACCAUUGAAGAAAAUGAUUGAUUUGACUCUUUUGGUUGAUUAUCAAAUUUCAAAUUUAAGAAGAGCAAACACCAAAUAUGGAAUGAAAGUAAUUGCAGCAAUCAGUAGUGAAUUCGAAGUUUUUCUACCUAACAGAAUCUUAAUAUUCCUGGAA